rnacentral:rRNA from 1 species
AUUGAACGCUGGCGGCAGGCUUAACACAUGCAAGUCGAGCGAGCGGCGGACGGGUGAGUAAUGUCUGGGAAACUGCCUGAUGGAGGGGGAUAACUACUGGAAACGGUAGCUAAUACCGCAUACCAUCAGAUGAACCCCUAUGGGAUAAGCUUGUAUGUGAGGUAACGGCUCACCUAGGCGACGAUCCCUAGCUGGUCUGAGAGGAUGAUCACCCACACUGGGACAGAGAAACGGCCACGACUCCUACGGGAGGCAGCAUUGUGGAAUAUUGCACAAUGGGCGCAAGCCUGAUGCAGCCAUGCCGCGUAUAUGAAGAAAGCCUUCGGGUUGAAAAGUACUUUCAGUCGGGAGGCGUUACCGGCAGAAGAAGCACCGGCUAACUCCGCGCCAGCAGCCGCGGUAAUUC